UACGUAGGGUGCAAGCGUUGUCCGGAUUUACUGGGCGUAAAGCGCACGCAGGCGGUCUCUUCGGUUUGGAGUGACAGUUGGUGGCUUAACUGCCAAAGUGCUUCGAAAACUGAGAGACUUGAGGGCUUCAGAGGGACACGGAAUUCCGGGUGGAGUGGUGAAAUGCGUAGAGAUCCGGAGGAACACCAAAGGCGAAGGCAGUGUCCUGGGGAGUACCUGACGCUCAGGUGCGAAAGCCAGGGGAGCGAACGGG
rnacentral:rRNA from 1 species